CAGCCACGCGAGCAACUCCUCCUCCGGCGCGCGCCCGGUGGCUAAAAGCAAACACCUCCAGCGGCGCGGCGGGACCGGGGAUUUCCUCCACCCAUUUUACAUUCUCCAUCAUCGACUGACUGCCUCAGCUGUGGCCCAGAGCAUGAAGCCAGCUGACAGCAGUCACCAGCUCGAUCAUCUCCACUAGAGGGAGGGCUCUCUCAGAACAAGGCCACCAAGGAGCUGCAGCAGAGGAUUUUUUAAAGCUGUGUAAACUGGGAGAGCGCAGGCCUGUGACCUUUCCUGUCUGACACUGGUCACCCGCUGUCACGUGGCAGGCUUGACCCACGGCGGUGAGUGAUGGCUGCAUACUCUGCUUCACCUCCCCGUGUAACACAUAUGCUCUGGCAAAGACGCACACCGUGCCCACUGUGGAGGGAAUAAACCGCCUCUCACUCAGCAGCACACCAUUGCUCCUAACGCAUCAAGAACAUAAUAAAUCACAAAUUAGAAGUGGAUGUAUUUCGAGGGGGUGGACCUUCUAGAAAGCACUGGUCCAGAGCUUAAUUUGAUUCUUAAUGGAAGGCAAAAUUUCCAACGGAAAACUUUCAUUGGCCACAAAAUGACUUUCCUUAGUUUUCACGUUGUUGCACCGAGAGAGAGAGAGAGAGAUUGAGUUUGAUAAGUGCUGUCGCUGCAGUGCCAGCCCAUGCAUGGGGUACUUCAUUUAACCCAUUUCUGUAAUUUCUUCACUAAACAGGGGUGAUUAAAAAGCUACCUAAAUAAAUGGAGCAUCCACUGAAAGAAGAAGUUUUCUUUUUAACUUCUUAACCAAACAUCUGGUUCAUUACUUGUCCUUUAAACAUCUCAUUUGUAGAAUAAGGAUUUGAGUCUUGACUGUAUUUGUCAUUUCAUACAAUCUACAGAUUUCGGAGUUUUUAGGAUUUGUUCAACAUUUUGAUGUCUAUAUUCCAACAUAUUCUUUUUCUGUUUUGCAAAA